CGUCGUAGGAUGUUGGGUUAAGUCCCGUAACGAGCGCAACCCUUGUCCUUAGUUACCAGCACGUUAUGGUGGGCACUCUAAGGAGACUGCCGGUGACAAACCGGAGGAAGGUGGGGAUGACGUCAAGUCAUCAUGGCCCUUACGGCCUGGGCUACACACGUGCUACAAUGGUCGGUACAAAGGGUUGCCAAGCCGCGAGGUGGAGCUAAUCCCAUAAAACCGAUCGUAGUCCGGAUCGCAGUCUGCAACUCGACUGCGUGAAGUCGGAAUCGCUAGUAAUAGUGAAUCAGAAUGUCACGGUGAAUACGUUCCCGGGCCUU
rnacentral:rRNA from 1 species